AGUGAACGCUGGCGGUAGGCCUAACACAUGCAAGUCGAACGGCAGCACAGUAAGAGCUUGCUCUUACGGGUGGCGAGUGGCGGACGGGUGAGGAAUACAUCGGAAUCUACUUUUUCGUGGGGGAUAACGUAGGGAAACUUACGCUAAUACCGCAUACGACCUACGGGUGAAAGCAGGGGAUCUUCGGACCUUGCGCGAUUGAAUGAACCGAUGUCGGAUUAGCUAGUUGGCGGGGUAAAGGCCCACCAAGGCGACGAUCCGUAGCUGGUCUGAGAGGAUGAUCAGCCACACUGGAACUGAGACACGGUCCAGACUCCUAAGGGAGGCAGCAGUGGGGAAUAUUGGACAAUGGGCGCAAGCCUGAUCCAGCCAUACCGCGUGGGUGAAGAAGGCCUUCGGGUUGUAAAGCCCCUUUGUUGGGAAAGAAAAGCAGCAGGUUAAUACCCCGCUGUUCUGACGGUACCCAAAGAAUAAGCACCGGCUAUCUUCGUG
rnacentral:rRNA from 1 species